UACGUAGGGGGCAGGCGUUGUCCGGAUUUAUUGGGCGUAAAGAGCGUGUAGGCGGCCAGACAGGUCCGUUGUGAAAACUCGAGGCUCAACCUCGAGAUGUCGAUGGAAACCGUCUGGCUAGAGUCCGGAAGAGGAGUGUGGAAUUCCUGGUGUAGCGGUGAAAUGCGCAGAUAUCAGGAAGAACACCUAUGGCGAAGGCAGCACUCUGGGACGGUACUGACGCUGAGACGCGAAAGCGUGGGGAGCGAACAGG
rnacentral:rRNA from 1 species